AACAGGAUUAGAUACCCUGGUAGUCCACGCCCUAAACGAUGUCUACUAGUUGUCGGGUCUUAAUUGACUUGGUAACGCAGCUAACGCGUGAAGUAGACCGCCUGGGGAGUACGGUCGCAAGAUUAAAACUCAAAGGAAUUGACGGGGACCCGCACAAGCGGUGGAUGAUGUGGAUUAAUUCGAUGCAACGCGAAAAACCUUACCUACCCUUGACAUGGCUGGAAUCCUCGAGAGAUUGAGGAGUGCUCGAAAGAGAACCAGUACACAGGUGCUGCAUGGCUGUCGUCAGCUCGUGUCGUGAGAUGUUGGGUUAAGUCCCGCAACGAGCGCAACCCUUGUCAUUAGUUGCUACGAAAGGGCACUCUAAUGAGACUGCCGGUGACAAACCGGAGGAAGGUGGGGAUGACGUCAAGUCCUCAUGGCCCUUAUGGGUAGGGCUUCACACGUCAUACAAUGGUACAUACAGAGCGCCGCCAACCCGCGAGGGGGAGCUAAUCGCAGAAAGUGUAUCGUAGUCCGGAUUGUAGUCUGCAACUCGACUGCAUGAAGUUGGAAUCGCUAGUAAUCGCGGAUCAGCAUGUCGCGGUGAAUACGUUCCCGGGUCUUGUACACACCGCCCGUCACACCAUGGGAGCGGGUUUUACCAGAAGUAGGUAGCUUAACCGCAAGGAGGGCGCUUACCACGGUAGGAUUCGUGACUGGGGUGAAGUCGUAACAAGGUAACC
rnacentral:rRNA from 1 species